GUUAUUGUGCUAUGGUAAAUUUUGGUAUGCUUGUCUUUUUGUCUGUAUACCUUUAUGUUUAUCUUUUUAGUUGACAUAUUUGCUUUUUAGUGAUUGAGGUUGUACCCCUAUUAUUUUUUUUAUUUUUUUUUAUUAAAACCCUAUUCAGUCAAUCUGUCUUAAAAUUUAAAGAUGGGGAAUACUAUUGAAAGUAUAAAGCGAUCGUUUUUCGUCAGUUCAUGGUUGUCAUUCUUAAUGUUUUUUUCUUGUAUAUACAUGUAUGACGUAUAA
rnacentral:lncRNA from 1 species